rnacentral:misc_RNA from 1 species
UUUCCGUAGGUGAACCUGCGGAAGGAUCAUUCAUAAUAGGUAUUUUAUGGUACUUUUUUAAAUCCAUAUCUACUUAGUGUGCAAUGUCAGGGUUGAUUAUUCACUCGAGAGCAUCAACCCCAAACAUCAACAAUAUCAUAAAUCUUUGACUGAAAAAUAUUAUGCAUAAAACAAUACAAAAUACAACUUUCAACAACGGAUCUCUUGGCUCUC